rnacentral:rRNA from 1 species
UACGUAGGCAGCAAGCGUUGUUCGGAGUUACUGGGCGUAAAGGGUGUGUAGGCGGUUCUUUAAGUUUGGUGUGAAAUCUCCCGGCUCAACCGGGAGGGUGCGCCGAAUACUGAGGGACUCGAGUGCGGGAGAGGAAAGUGGAAUUCCCGGUGUAGCGGUGAAAUGCGUAGAUAUCGGGAGGAACAUCAGUGGCGAAGGCGGCCAUCUGGACUGACACUGACACUGAGACACGAAAGCGUGGGGAGCAAACAGG